rnacentral:rRNA from 1 species
GAUGAACGCUGGCGGUGUGCCUAAUACAUGCAAGUCGUACGAACUCUGGUAUUGAUUGGUGCUUGCAUCAUGAUUUACAUUUGAGUGAGUGGCGAACUGGUGAGUAACACGUGGGAAACCUGCCCAGAAGCGGGGGAUAACACCUGGAAACAGAUGCUAAUACCGCAUAACAACUUGGACCGCAUGGUCCGAGUUUGAAAGAUGGCUUCGGCUAU